rnacentral:tRNA from 2 species
GCCGGAGUAGCUCAGUUGGUAGAGCAACGCAUUCGUAAUGCGUGGGUCGGGGGUUCGAUUCCCUUCUCCGGCACCA